GGCACUUGUCCAUGCCUAGCCUAGCCUAGAGGGGGGAGGACACCCACCUCGCUCCAGACAAGGGCAACACAGGGAGUGAUGGGAACGAACUGCAGGGACACUUGCUGAGACACCCCCUCCCCUGGCCCAGAAGGACUUUAAGGUCUUCCGCAGUUGGCUUCUGGACUAAUGAAGUAGUCUUCUAGAACAGCUGCCUGCAACUGGCCACACAGCGUCCUGAGCAACUGUUCUUCACCAUUUGUGAUCACAGUCCUUGUUAAGAAUUGGAUUGAAGUUCAGACUCCUCGGCUGCACACACAAGGGGCUUCAACGCUUGGCCUUGCUCUUACAGUCCUCCCUCCUUCUCAACUCCCAGCCAUGCCUUCCUGCAGUGAACUAGCCUGGCUCUCUGACAAAUCCCUGCCCACGAGGAGCGGGUGCCCCUUCUCUGCUACUCCUAUAAAGGGACAAAUAACUGUAGUUUCCUGAUACACUUUUCCCCCCAUGCUGGGAGCUAUGGAAGGUCAGGAGCCGUAGGUAAUUCACUGUGGCAUCCACAGAAUCUGCUCUGGGGCUGCCAUGUGGAGUAUCUUAAUAAAUGUUCGGUGGACAUGGUGUCUCCUCACCAUCCAAUCAAUCCUCCUGAGUUUUGGUUGGUGGCUUAUACAGUCCCAAGGAGCAGAUUCAACCCCAGCUCUAGGAAUGAAGCCAGCUUUAGACUGAAGCCAACCCAGAAGAGAGCAGAGCAGAGAAAGUAUGCAAGGUUUUGGUGACUGUGUUGAGGAGCUGGAUGGAACCUGGCCUGAAGCUAGCUAGUCCUUCUGAAUGUUUUAUUUCUGCAAAGCCAUUAAAUUCCUUUUACUAGUUUAAGUAAGGUUUUCUAUUAUCUGCCACUCAAGCGCACCAAGAAAAAACAAAUGAAUAAAUGAAAAUAUUAAUGAGUGGGUGACAAUGUCACCCAAAACUGUUUUAACUUCACUGACAGUUAUAUAGUAUACAUUUAUUUCCUCUUGCCUUCCUAUGCCUGGAAAAAAAAAGAGAACUUUCUUUCCAAAGCUAACACCCUGCCCUGCUUCUCUAGGAAAUGGUUCCAUUAAUUACCCCAUAUUCUCCCUUGUGUCUCCAAUCGUUCCUUCCCCAGUUGCUUCCUCCUCUCUGCCUUCACACACCUCAGGCCUCCCACGGCCUCUAAUGCUCUCAGUACCUCCUGAAACUGCAGCUGUAUCUUUCCUCCUCUCACCUCCCAUCUCCUCUGUAGGAUAGCUGAUCCUCAGUGCCUCCACACAGGCUCGCACAGUGUGCCCCGUGGGCAGUCGGGGAAGGCUCACCACCAGCUAGACCUCCCGGGGAGAGCUUUGGGCCCUGGGCCCUGCUGCACGUUCUGUGUGACUGUGGCCACCUGGCUCCAGGGUUCACAUGUCAGGGUUUCAGGACUGACCACUCAGGUGCCCAAGGUUCAUGAAGACCUAGACAUGGAAGGCCACCUCCAGCCUGAACCUCUGCUCAAGAGAGAAUCACUCAAGGUUCAAGAUUAGCUCCCUUACCCUCAGGGGUCCAGGACAGCAGCCCCGUGCCAAUCCCCUCCAUUCUGCCAGCAGGUGGAGUGAGGUAGGGCCUCAGUCCGGGUCCCAGAGGGCAGGGACGAGCCGAGGGGGCGUGGAAGGCUCACUCAGGAGCCUUGGAGCCUGGGCCAGGGAAGCAGGCUCACGGAGGGAAACAGGAGAAGCCCUCCUGGGUAGCAAGAGAGGAGGCAGCCAGCACUGCGCUCCAGAUUUCCAGCCCCUCGGGCAAGAGAAGCAAAGGCUCUAUUCUGGAAACAUGAUGUUUUCAUGCUCUUCGCUUUUUCUCUAAGUAUGUUCCUGGUGCUCCUGUACAUUAAGUCUGAUUCUUGCAGAUGUCAGACCCACAGCUAAUGCUAGGCUUCAGGCCACAAGAAAAAAGUGUGUCUGUCCAGACCAGAUCUUUAAAGCAGGAUGAGGAACAGAGGGAGGGUAUCACAAGAAAUCCCAAGAACAUGGGGGAUAAGGUCAUAACCAGAGGUCCAGCAGCAAGCCCUGCCUGGAUUCCAGCCCAGCCCUUUCUGUGGAGCUCCAUGUGUAUAAAGCAGAACCUCUUCUGGGGCAUGGCCACAGCAACCAGGAGGUACAGGUAAC